AAAACAAAGAAAACAAGAAUGUGUCCUCAGUACACGAAUGCCCCACUCGCACUAUCAUUUUCCAUGUUCAGUGGACCGUGAAAUUGGGGUAAAAACUCUAAUUUUGCAUUAAAAUUAGAAAGAUCAUAUCAUAGGGGACAUGUGUACUAAGUUUGAAGUCGAUUGGACUUAAACUUCAUCAAAAACUACCAUGACCAAAAACUUUAACCUGAAGCGGGACAGACGGACGGACGGACGGACGAACGAACGGACAGACGGACGGACGGACGGACGGACGCACAGACCAGAAAACAUAAUGCCCCUCUUCUAUCGUAGGUGGGGCAUAAAAAAAG
rnacentral:lncRNA from 1 species